rnacentral:rRNA from 1 species
GAUGAACGCUGGCGGCGUGCCUAAUACAUGCAAGUCGAGCGAACAGAUGAGGAGCUUGCUCCUCUGACGUUAGCGGCGGACGGGUGAGUAACACGUGGAUAACCUACCUAUAAGACUGGGAUAACUUCGGGAAACCGGAGCUAAUACCGGAUAAUAUAUUGAACCGCAUGGUUCAAUAGUGAAAGAGGGUUUUGCUGUCACUUAUAGAUGGAUCCGCGCCGCAUUAGCUAGUUGGUAAGGUAACGGCUUACCAAGGCAACGAUGCGUAGCCGACCUGAGAGGGUGAUCGGCCACACUGGAACUGAGACACAGUCCAGACUCCUACGGGAGGCAGCAGUAGGGAAUCUUCCGCAAUGGGCGAAAGCCUGACGGAGCAACGCCGCGUGAGUGAUGAAGGUCUUCGGAUCGUAAAACUCUGUUAUUAGGGAAGAACAAAUGUGUAAGUAACUAUGCACGUCUUGACGGUACCUAAUCAGAAAGCCACGGCUAACUACGUG